UUUAUAAAUCAGUUUAUUUACAGAUUUUGUUCUCUUAAAGUACAUUUCAGUUACCAAAGAUAUUUACACUGGUGUACACAGGGAGCACCCUGGUUAUUUUACAGUUCUUAAUUACAAAAUACCCCAACAAACAAAACCCCUCCACAUCCUUGGGUCUGUCUACUGUGCAAAGCUGCUCUGGAUGUGAACAUUAGCUGAAACUGGCCCAAAACCCAAGUUACCAGGUUAUUUACACAUACACAGUAAACGGGCUUCUUUUCAGCAUCUCCACAACACAGUACACAGGGAGAUGGAGCCUCCCAAAAGGUGGCUUUGCAAAUGUGUAUCAAAAGGCUCUGCAAAGUCAGGGGAAAAAACUAGUAAAUGCAGGUUAAUUACAGUAUUCCUCUUUCAUCUGUAUAUAAUUUUGCAUUUAACAUUUAAAUUACAAGUAAGUUCAAUAGUUUGCUUUUCUCCAUUUUAGUUGAUUUGUAAACACUUCAGAUGCACUAAAUACCUUAUAAGUUUCAACUGUUUUUCUGUUGAAAAGUCCUUUAUUUUCCUAAUAUUCUUAAGGUAGCAAAGGGAUAUGAUAGUUGGAACUGCAUGCAGUUCCUUCCAGAAUAGUAAUUUAAAAGGUCUCUAUCACUGUGCUACUGAAGAUCUUCUGCAGGUACACACUUAUUCAAGUAUUGCAAAAAGCUAAGGCCACUUUUUCAAGAAAGGAAAGUGAACAAGAUGGGAUUUUUCAAUCCCCCAUUCCACCUUGUGAGCAACAAGCCUCUUCUGAAAGGCAGAAGUACUGAUACUCCACAGCUUGGCUCAGGGAGCAUCCUGCUGUGAUGGAGGUACUCGCACUCCUUGUCCUCACAAGCCUGGGCUUUCCUACCUGGCACCAAGAUCCUUCUGAAGAGCGAACUCCAUCUCCGCAGUGACAACAGCCACUGCCCCAAACAGCUUAAAGUCUCAGAAAAACGUCUCAGCCUUGAAUCUUCUAAUGUGGUUGCACCAAGAUAACCAGGACCCAGAAAUAUCACCUUGUUCUUUAUAAUGGGAAGGUUAGGGAUUAGAACAAAACAGAGAAUUCAGUCUUGUUUGUGAGACUCCAGGCUUCCCCGUACCUCCCUGUUACCAGCCACGACCCAGACAGACCAUUGCUUCAUCACGGUAAUCAUCAGUCUACAGGUACUCAACACACUUGAGGUUUUGAGUAUAUACUCAAAGCAACUCAACACACUUGAGGUACUGAGAAGAUAAUUCAUGUACGUUCAAGUCUUUUUAGGGUUGCUCCUAGCAAGGAUUGCUACCAAAAAUAGAGAGAGAUGUUUGCAAAGGAAUAAAGCCAUUAAUUAGAUACAGCUUUCUUCUGCCCAAACAGCUGCAAAAAUAGUUACUACUACUGUUGAGGGUACUAAACUAGUGCUAUCCAAGCCAGCAAGACAACAGGCAUAUGAUCUCCAAUGGUCCCUAGUACCACAGACCAACUGUACAACCUUCUCCCUGCUGGUGGACAGACCAGAAAAGCUAUGCCAGCCCUGCAGAACAGCCAAAAAGUUUCAGGGGUGCAGGGCAACCUUCUUGACACUUGUCACAGAACAGAAACCAACUUUGUUUCUCUGAUACUCCAGCUAUAAAUCUAUGCUGCAGGUUUCUGUCUUCUUUCUGUAAUUGCUACCUAUAAAAAUAGCCAUCCCCACUAUUGAAAGAGAUACACCCAGGAAAGGGAAUCUCAGGCAGUGACCCAACCAGUGACACCAUGCUAGUUAAACAUAGCAGCUUUAGUUUGCUUCUGUCUUAAGCAGUCAAGAGUUUCCCGGUUCAGCAUGAUGACAUUUUAUGUAGACAAAUGAAUCACUUGGUGGGGGGAGGGGGAAACCUGAACAACGCUCCACCAAGACCACUUGACUUCCAGCUAGCCAGAAGGGCCACUACAGUGGGACAGACACACAUAUGCCUGCC
ensembl:lncRNA